CUUUACAUCGAUCAUCUAGGCUUGAACGUUGUAGUUAUGAAAAAAAAUGAUUUCAAGCUCUACAAAUAGUGUAUAUUGUAACAGAUUAUCUAGACCGUCCGUUUCACCCUGAAAAAUAAAUGUUCACAAAUCUAUAAGAUCUAUAUCAUUUUUUAAAUUUCAAAAUUUAUUGUCGUUGUUGUUAAUUGAUUUUAGAGCCAUCAUAGAGAAUGUUGUUGCCAAAAGUGCUUUUCGCACAAGAAUUUGAGGUGAGACUUUAUUUUGUUUCCGUAAAGCCUGUGCCUUACAUAAACUUCAUCCUGUGUAAAC
rnacentral:lncRNA from 1 species